rnacentral:tRNA from 1 species
GGGAAUGUGCCUUAGUGGUAAAGUGCUUGCCUAGAAUGUAUGAAGCCCUAGGUUCAAUUCCUCAGUACCA